UCAGUUCGGAUUGAAGGCUGAAAUUCGCCUUCAUGAAGCCGGAAUUGCUAGUAAUGGCAGGUCAGCAUACUGCCGUGAAUACGUUCCCGGGCCUUGUACACACCGCCCGUCACACCAUGAGAGUUGGGAAUACCCGAAGCCUGUGAGCUAACGCAAGAGGCAGCAGUCGAAGGUAGAAUCAAUGAUUGGGGUGAAGUCGUAACAAGGUACC
rnacentral:rRNA from 1 species